UACAGAGGUCUCAAGCGUUGUUCGGAUUCAUUGGGCGUAAAGGGUGCGUAGGCGGCGCGAUAAGUCGGGUGUGAAAUCUCGGGGCUUAACUCCGAAACUGCAUUCGAUACUGCCGUGCUUGAGGACUGGAGAGGAGACUGGAAUUUACGGUGUAGCGGUGAAAUGCGUAGAUAUCGUAAGGAAGACCAGUGGCGAAGGCGGGUCUCUGGACAGUUCCUGACGCUGAGGCACGAAGGUCAGGGGAGCAAACGGG
rnacentral:rRNA from 1 species